GUUAUGUUGAGGCUAUCCUUUUGAAAAAGUUGAACUGUGAGAACUUUACAUCAAAAAAUCCCAUCAGAAGUUUAAUCUAAUCUACAGAUUUGGGUGAUGAGGCAGACCCUGAGAAAAUGUGUCCUAUCUGAUAUGCAAACUUGUUAGUCAAUGCAUCUUUAUGAAUAAGUGGUUCGGAGGACCUGGUUGAAUGCGGUAGCAAAACCGGAGUCGUU
rnacentral:misc_RNA from 1 species